AUGGCGGCGACGGCCGCGGCGGAGGCAGACGGCGGUGGCGCCGUCACCACGCGGCUAUUCGUGGGCGGGCUGGCGGAGGGCGUGUCCGCGGCCGACCUGGAGGCCGUGUUCGGCUCCAUCGGCCGCGUCGCCGGCGUCGAGUUCGUGCGCACCAGCGGCCGCAGCUUCGCCUACGUCGACUUCCAAUGCCCCUCCCACAAGGCCCUGGCCAAGCUCUUCUCCACCUACAAUGGGUGCAAAUGGAAAGGAGGGAAGCUGAAACUGGAGAAGGCCAAGGAGCACUACCUCGUUCGGCUGAAGCGAGAAUGGGAGCAGGAGGCGGCGGCGGCGGCAGCUGCUCAAGAAAUGCAUGCGGAAGAUAAUGUGGACAAGCAGGAGGAGAAGGAGAAGCGGAAGCUGGAGAAGGAUGCUCUGGAAAGUUCAAAGCUUAACAUCUACUUCCCGAGAUUGAGGAAGCUGAAACCUUUGCCUUUUAAAGGCAGUGGAAAGCACAAAUACAGUUUCAGAAAUAUUGAAGUCCCUUCCUACCCAAUUCAUUUCUGUGACUGCGAGGAGCACUGUGGACCUCCUGAGAAAGCUAAUGAAGAAUAUGCUGCUGUUCUUAAUCGUGUUGCAUAUGAGAAGGAGCGCAACAUCAUGAAUUCUGUGAUGAGUAAGCUCUUUGAGAAGGACACUGAGCAAAUCGAUUCAUCGGAACUGCAGAAACAAGGUGAUGUUGUUAACAUCAUGGAACCGUCUGAUGCUGAGACAGAACCCUCUAAUGCUGAGACAGAACCCUCUGAUACGGAGACAGAACCCUCUGAUUCCGACAAUGAUUUACCAAUGGAAGAAACAACAGAAACUCCUGAAGAAGAUUUGGAUGACCUCCAAAUGGAAGAAACAGACGAUCCUUCUGAAGAAGAAUUGGAUGAUGACCUUGUGAUCAACAUUGCUCCUCGCAAGGCCAACAACUCAGCUGCACAGUUAAAUAGGGCAAACCAAGCAGUGAAUAAGGACGAGCGGUUCAGAAAACGUCAGCAUUUUGAUGAGAUUUCUCCACAAAAGAAGAGACAGAAACCAGAGGAUUUAUCUGAACCUAGAAACCAGAAGCAGUCUACUUCAAUGAAUGCAGACAGGAGGACUACAGGGAGGUCUUUGCCAUCUGUGGCAGUAGCCAUCCAAAAUGAACAAAAAUCCUCUGUUUUGUCAGGAAAAGGAACACAUGGUUUCUCUUCCGUACUUGAUAGAGCUAAAAGUUCUGCUGGUCUUGAAGGUGUUGACGCUCUAACAGGUCGUUCUACCAAAAACGAAGGUUCACAAAAUGAGCUUCCUACUGCUGAACCUAAAAAGGGUUCUGUGUGGACUCAGAAGUCUGCCUGGAGAGAUCUUGUAGGAGGCAUGGGGGCUACAUCUUUCAGUAUAUCGCAGAUAUUGCCGAACAUCAGCCCAGCACCACCAAAACUUGAACCUGCUACUGAGACCUCUGUCGCAUGCACCGAAGCCAGGAGGGAAGUGACAUCAUUAGGUAUGACAUCUUUGGAAUCCCCGGCGGCUAUAACUCAGCCCUCGUCUGAGCAGAACUUACUGAGCUCCACGGGAACACCAUCCGCUGGAACAACAAUUGGUUCAGCUGGUCAUGAAACCCGAGGGCACGACGAGAGCAACAAGGUAGAAGAACCGUGUGUGGUCCCAAAGAUUACAAUCAGUGAAGUCUGCCCGUUCAUGAGAAACGAAGAGUCAGUUCAGCAAUGGUCGAAGGCAAAGAAGGUUCUAACCGGGUUCAGCAAGAGGGGCGACGAGAAGAAGGCCGGAUCCAGUAACUCCAGGAGAGGAAAGCCACAGUCACGGAGAGGAUAA
rnacentral:rRNA from 1 species